GCUCUACGGGUGAAAUUGGUAGACGCAGGGGACUCAAAAUCCCCCGCCGCAAGGCGGGCCGGUUCGAUUCCGGCCCCGGGCACCA
rnacentral:tRNA from 1 species